rnacentral:tRNA from 1 species
AAUAAAAUGGCUGAGGUUAAGCAAAAGAUUGUAGCUCUUUUAACGGGGUUUGUUCCUCUCUUAUUA